AUAUAGGUUCUAUUAAGAACCAUAUUUAACAAAUGAAGAGACUG
rfam:Pan troglodytes isolate Yerkes chimp pedigree #C0471 (Clint) chromosome 2A, whole genome shotgun sequence.